UACGAAGGGGGCUAGCGUUGCUCGGAAUGACUGGGCGUAAAGGGCGCGUAGGCGGGCAAUCAAGUCAGGGGUGAAAGCCUCCAGCUUAACUGGAGAAGUGCCUCUGAUACUGGUCGUCUUGAGGGAGGUAGGGGCAUGUGGAACUUCCGGUGGAGCGGUGAAAUGCGUAGAUAUCAGGAGGAACACCGGUGGCGAAGGCGGCUCUCUGGACCAUAACUGACGCUGAGACGCGAAAGUCAGGGGGAGCAAACAGG
rnacentral:rRNA from 1 species